rnacentral:rRNA from 1 species
GGCCCGCACAAGCGGUGGAGUAUGUGGUUUAAUUCGAUGCAACGCGAAGAACCUUACCAGUGUUUGACAUCCUGCGAAUCUCUUGGAAACGAGAGAGUGCCUUCGGGAGCGCAGUGACAGGUGGUGCAUGGCUGUCGUCAGCUCGUGUCGUGAGAUGUUGGGUUAAGUCCCGCAACGAGCGCAACCCACGUCUUUAGUUGCCAGCAUUAGUUGGGCACUCUAGAGAGACCGCCGGUGAUAAACCGGAGAAGGUGUGGAUGACGUCAAGUCAUCAUGCCCCUUACAUCUGGGCUACACACGUACUACAAUGCUACGGACAAAGGGCAGCAAGUUCGCGAGGACAAGCAAAUCCCAUAAACGUGGCUCAGUUCAGA